rnacentral:lncRNA from 1 species
UUGAUGUAUUAGUCUUUAUUUUUUAAUCAGUCUUUAAAUAUCAGAUUCCAUGUGCUCUGAACAUGAGCAUCACAAAUGGAAGGUGACUGAUGUAUAUAUGUUUUAUGGGUAGUUGGUGCAAGCAACAUCAAGAUUUUAGGUUAACAUCUGACUGUAUAAGGGUAAAUGUGUAUUUUAUGUGCUGUAAAUAGUCAUAAUUUCUUUUGUUUUUACAUUUUUUCGCCUUUUCAGUGAAUUUAUGAAGUCGUAUAAAUUAACAAAAUGUCCACGUCAACUACACUUAUGCAUUAUAAAGAAAAAUAUAGCAUGUUGUUUAAAAUUUAAGUAGGUGAUAGGAUGUGACAUGGAUGUCAUAUGAAAAGGAACAAUUUGUCUAUGCCAUUAAAUAUAAAUAAAUGUCAUCCAAUAAAUCCAUUGUGAUGUAACUGAGUAGCCUUAUGAAUUUCAUUCACACCAUUUUGUGUACGUGACCCAAAUAGCCUAUAUGUCAUGCAAUGUCCAUUCCAUCAAUGUCCAUGACCAAAGCCUGAUCGAUUGUGUUCCAGCUGUGUUCUCCCCCCGUGUUUUCACUGACCUCAAUGUGGAGUCAUUACAUCAGAAUCAGAUGGGUAUUGGGUGACACAAAGCCCUGGCAGCAGUAGACCUGUUUCACUCAGCUGCUCGAGCCUGGUGAAGAAACAUCUGCUUGUGAAAGGAUGCACUUUUGAAUAUAUUUCUUUAGAAGAUCAUUCAUUCUUCAGACUACUGGAACUUUCAAAACAAAUUUUAAACAGACCCCAAAAAGCUACAAGGAUCACAUGCCCAAAUCAGAGCUAAAAAAAUCAUUUUCAGGAAUUGCAAGGGAGGCAUCAACAGAGUAACGAAGCUAAAUACUGAUAGUGUAGCAAGUGUAUAAGAUGGAAAGAUACUUCACACCUGUGCGUGGCUCCUCCGAGGAUGAGGUGAAAAUUUACAAACAUUACCAUCCCAUACCUCAACAGCAUCCUCACAACCAUCAUUAUCACCACCAUGGAUCAUACAGUCACAGCUCUUCAAGCGGUCAUGGAAAACACAGUGAUAAACAUACUCACCAUCACCACGACAACCAACAUCACUUUUAUCAUCCCGCAAACCCUAAAAUGUCUGGAGACCAUCACAGCUUCUCUAAAAGGUCUUCUUCCAGCCUGUCCUCCUCCUCCUCCUCUUCUUCAUCUGCAUCUUGGACAUCAGAGCCCAGCCUGGAUGAUGAGACGUAUCUCAUGCACAAACCCCAGCAUUCCCUGUCCUGCUCCAACAUCCCUGAGGUUCGAAGGAAAAGCCAUAACAGAGAAUCUGAGGACUUUGAUCACAGAGAUCAGAGGCACCGCCACAGCCUUGAAAAUGUCGUCGAACUGCUGCCUGGUUCUCAGCAUGAACAUCGGAUGCCAAAACUCUCCCGGGGCCAUAGCAAAAGUGAGGAGGGCCUUCAACAAAACAAGCACAAACAUGAUUACUCAGAAGCAUCUCACUCCAUUGAUCAUGGGCCACUUUACAAGACUGCAAGCCUGGGACAAAGCCUUGCCUUUGGUGGCAAUAAUGACAACACUCUAGGUGGCAGGGUGGUUCCCAAGAAGGCUGUUUCAUCUAUUCAGCUGCCCAGCAAAGGUAUUCUGAAAAACAAAUAUGAGGGACAGAAAGAAGGAAACUUCAGGAAAGCAAAGUCUAUGGAGAUGCUCUCCACCAGGGUGCACGUCACAGGAACAUCCAAGCAGAUCUCAAUGGAAGCUGCGAGGGAUAACGUUGUGAAAGGGAAGCUACAAUUCUCUGCAUUUCUGGACGAGAUCACCAAGCAGGUUAUCAGUCCCUGUGCUCUUAGCUCUUUUGGUGUAAACACAUCAACGCCACCAAAAUCUCCCAAUGAAGAGCACAAGAACUGCAGCGGCAAGCAGGAGAGCUUUGUGCCAUCACCAAAACAGCAGCCCAUCAGAACUGAGAGACCUGAUUCAGGAAAAAACAAUUCAAGCUCACUUUCUCGAUCACAUAAGAGACCGAGCAAAUACCACAACCGAAACCUGACCAGUCCUCCAACGCCACCCCGCCACCCUUCUAAAGCUGAAAGACAAGGGGCUGCUUCAGGUAAACAGCACCACAGGCAAUAUUCUCAGAUGCUCACUGAUGGUACCAGCACCAGCCCAGAAACUAUCCACACCAACCUCUCGAAACACAAAGGGCGACAUCAAAGUAGUCAUGGCCCCUCCAGACACUUUCAUACUAAGCAGGAGAAGGAAUCACCGCCACCUUUGCGAGUCGCAGGGCUGGAGUCAGAGUCUCAGUCGAGUAAAUCAUCCACCAGUGCUAGUUCAGAGAAAAGUGACAGACCCAAACACAUGGGACACAGAAGGCAGUCCAAACCACACAGGGAUUCAUCUGGUUCCGUGGACAGAGUUCAGAUGCUGGAGGAGUACAACAAAGAGCUACGUGAGAACCUGUUGCAGACGGUGGCAUGCAUUGAGAACAUGGAGGCAGAAUUGCAGUGUACCAAGACAGAGUUAGUCAGCUUCAAAGAGAAAUACAGAAGGCUUCAGGAAAGCUAUUCUGUUUCUCAGCAGGCAAACAGUGUCUUGGAGCAGAAACUCAAAUCUGCGGUAGACAGCUUGGACUCAGAGAGGAAGUUCCUCAUGCAGAGAGUCGCAGAUCUGACUAAACAGCUGGAUACUGCUCAGAAGACCAUCAGCUCUUUAGAAAACAUCAAUGUUCCCUCAUUCAUUAGAGAGUUGUUGAAAAAUCACUUUGACUCUCAGGAAGCACUGGAGCACUUCUUAUGUCCUCGAACAUCUCCACGGCAACCUGAUUUUGACCAAUCAGAGAGGGCACAGGAGGUCACAAACAACCAACCAUCUGGUGGAAAAGAGGAAGUUUUUGAAUGGCCACAGACUGGACACACAUGUUCAGGUGCCAGACAACAGCCUGCCACAGCCUUUCUGCCAUGGAAACAUGAUCAUGUUCCAUGGGCAGGGCCAGGGCAACUCAUGGCUAAAGGAAGUGACUCACAACUUCCUUUUUCUUUUGGUAAUGAUGUGCCAAUCCACAAAACAAAGGCAGAUACAAAGGCCCCAAGUCAUCAAGUGCAUCAAUUAGCCAUGAACACAGAUAUCUACUUAAUUCCCCCAAACCCAUAUAAUUUAGAUGAGAUGAGGUUCAGCAGAAAGGCAGGUGGAGAGGGAACCAUCACUGUGGGGAAAGAGCCCACUGAUGUCAGCUGUCUUACAGCUCAUAGGAUGCUGAAUGAGUUUUUAAACCAGAUCCCUCCUCCAGCGCAUGAUGGUGAAGGGAAAGCUAGUUUAGAAGCAGAACUAACAGAAGGAAAGCAGUAACAUUUAAUUUGACAUCUUUUUGGUAAACUGAACUGGAUAAAAACCUCAAUAACGUCUCCCAUUACCAAUACUGCAGCAAGGAUGCAACUAACUGUGGCUCUGAUGGCUCUUUGUUGGUAGUUGUGAAAUACACUUAAUUUCUAGCUUCACAAGUUGCUGUAUGCAUAUAAGUUUGUAUAUACCAUCUGGUUUUGUGCUGUAUCCAUUAAAACUUUUAGUUUUCUGGUUUCCUGUUUUCAUUUGUAGUUCAGUGCAUUUGCAAAAGGCAUCCUCCAUAUUAGUAUUUUUGUACAUGUUUGCACUUUUUGCCCUGCAUAUUGUGAAAUAUUUAAGGUUAGCAAUAAAAUAAUAUAAUUCGAUAUUCAUAUUAUUUUAUUGCUAACCAAAAUUACUGUCAAUUUGUUUUGGAAAAGUAUGGCACUUUCUUCUGUCUUUGAGUGCUUCUGUCUUUUGAGUGAAGUUUGAAUUCUUGUUUUUGUGAAAUCUAUAUGUGUAACUACACUCUAAAAAAUGCUGGGUUAAAUAUAACCCAGUGCUGGGUUAAAAAGGGACAAACCCUCCCUUUUUAACCCAGCAUUUUUUAGAGUGUAUAUGUAUAGAAUAUAAGUUUAUAUAAGUUUCUGCUAGAAAUCAAAUAAGCCAUAUAACCAUAUAUAUUUAUUAUAGAAUAUCCUUGUAUUUUUAUUCUAACUGUAUUAAUAAAGUCUUGUGUACAAGUUUGCUCUACAUUUGGGAAUGGUUAAUAUCUGUCUUAGGGGUGUCU